rnacentral:tRNA from 1 species
GACAGUAUAGUCUAGUGCAAAGACCAUGGGUUUGGAAGCCAGGAGAUCUGGGUUCUAGUCUCAGCUCUGUUU